rnacentral:rRNA from 1 species
GACGAACGCUGGCGGCGUGCUUAACACAUGCAAGUCGAACGGAAAGGCCCUGCUUUUGUGGGGUGCUCGAGUGGCGAACGGGUGAGUAACACGUGAGUAACCUGCCCUUGACUUUGGGAUAACUUCAGGAAACUGGGGCUAAUACCGGAUAGGAGCUCCUGCUGCAUGGUGGGGGUUGGAAAGUUUCGGCGGUUGGGGAUGGACUCGCGGCUUAUCAGCUUGUUGGUGGGGUAGUGGCUUACCAAGGCUUUGACGGGUAGCCGGCCUGAGAGGGUGACCGGCAACAUUGGGACUGAGAUACGGCCCAGACUCCUACGGGAGGCAGAAGUGGGGAAUAUUGAAAAAGGGGCGGAAGCCGGAUGCAGCAACGCCGCGUGCGGGAUGACGGCCUUCGGGUUGUAAACCGCUUUCGCCUGUGACGAAGCGUGAGUGACGGUAAUGGGUAAAGAAGCACCGGCUAACUACGUG